AUGAAAAAUUGAGCUAAAGGGCCUGGGAAGCAAUUGUAAUAAUGGAAAAAAUUCUGUAAAUUUUGUGGAAAAUUUUGUGAUUUCGGAAAAAUGGAGUAUGUUUGGAAAAAUUGUUAUGUCCGAAAAAUUUUUUUGACCCCUAAAAUGGUACACUGACCGAAAAUUUUUUGGCGACGGGGGGGGGGAGGUCGCCAGAAUAUUCCGGAAAAAAAUUUUUUUCAUCUCAACCGUUUGGUUACAUUCUUUCUGGAGUGAGUGCCCCCCCCCAGAAAUUGAGAGCCAGCUCCGGGCUUGAAACACCCUCUGGGUAUAAUAAGCAUCCAGCAAGUAUACCCGUAUUCUUGGGUUUCAUAUGACAUCACAAAAGUGA